rnacentral:rRNA from 1 species
AGGACGAACGCUGGCGGCGUGCUUAACACAUGCAAGUCGAGCGGAAAGGCCCUUCGGGGUACUCGAGCGGCGAACGGGUGAGUAACACGUGGGCAACCUGCCCUUAGCUCUGGGAUAGCUCCGGGAAACCGGAAUUAAUACCGGAUAUGACCUAGGCCGACAUCGGCCGUGGUGGAAAGUUUUUCGGCUAGGGAUGGACUCGCGGCCUAUCAGCUAGUUGGUGGGGUAAUGGCCUACCAAGGCGACGACGGGUAGCCGGCCUGAGAGGGCGACCGGCCACACUGGGACUGAGACACGGCCCAGACUCCUACGGGAGGCAGCAGUGGGGAAUCUUGCGCAAUGGGCGAAAGCCUGACGCAGCGACGCCGCGUGGGGGAUGAAGGCCUUCGGGUUGUAAACCCCUUUCAGCAGGGACGAAGCGAAAGUGACGGUACCUGCAGAGAAGCGCCGGCUAACUACGCGCCAGCAGCCGC